UCAUACUCACAUUGAGUCUUGACUUGAGGGAGGUCGCUCCUCCUCGAGCGGUGUGUUUCCAAAAAUCGACACCAUAGUGAGCGAGGUCCCUUAAGAUGGUCCCUAGGGGUGGUUCGAGGCCCCCUGCUUUGACGGGAUUUUGGGUUGUGAGUUCGAGAGGAACUGGGUGAACCUCGAUGCAAUUGGGUAAAAGCCAAGUGAAUGUACAUUAAGCGUUAUGAGCUAUAGAUUGAGUAUCCCUGUCAAGUGGAUUUGGGGCUGAGGUGUAUGUGAG
rnacentral:lncRNA from 1 species